UACGAAGGGGGCUAGCGUUGCUCGGAAUCACUGGGCGUAAAGGGUGCGUAGGCGGGUCUUUAAGUCAGGGGGGAAAUCCUGGAGCUCAACUCCAGAACUGCCUUUGAUACUGAAGAUCUUGAGUCCGGGAGAGGUGAGUGGAACUGCGAGUGUAGAGGUGAAAUUCGUAGAUAUUCGCAAGAACACCAGUGGCGAAGGCGGCUCACUGGCCCGGUACUGACGCUGAGGCACGAAAGCGUGGGUAGCAAACAGG
rnacentral:rRNA from 1 species